rnacentral:rRNA from 1 species
AGUGAACGCUGGCGGUAGGCCUAACACAUGCAAGUCGAACGGCAGCACAGUAAGAGCUUGCUCUUACGGGUGGCGAGUGGCGGACGGGUGAGGAAUACAUCGGAAUCUACUUUUUCGUGGGGGAUAACGUAGGGAAACUUACGCUAAUACCGCAUACGACCUACGGGUGAAAGCAGGGGAUCUUCGGACCUUGCGCGAUUGAAUGAGCCGAUGUCGGAUUAGCUAGUUGGCGGGGUAAAGGCCCACCAAGGCGACGAUCCGUAGCUGGUCUGAGAGGAUGAGCAGCAACACUGGAACUGAGACACGGUCCAGACUCCUACGGGAGGCAGCAGUGGGGAAUAUUGGACAAUGGGCGCAAGCCUGAUCCAGCCAUACCGCGUGGGUGAAGAAGGCCUUCGGGUUGUAAAGCCCUUUUGCUGGGAAAGAAAAGCAGCAGGUUAAUACCCCGCUGUUCUGACGGUACCCAAAGAAUAAGCACCGGCUAACUUCGUG